rnacentral:rRNA from 1 species
UCCCAGACUCCUACGGGAGGCAGCAGUGGGGGAUAUUGCACAAUGGGGGGAACCCUGAUGCAGCGACGCCGCGUGGGUGAGGAAGCGCCUCGGCGCGUAAAGCCCUGUCAGCAGGGAAGAAAAUGACGGUACCUGAGUAAGAAGCCCCGGCUAACUACGUGCCAGCAGCCGCGGUAAUACGUAGGGGGCAAGCGUUAUCCGGAAUUACUGGGUGUAAAGGGAGCGUAGACGGUGAAGUAAGUCUGGAGUGAAAGGCGGGGGCCCAACCCCCGGACUGCUCUGGAAACUAUUUGACUGGAGUGCAGGAGAGGUAAGCGGAAUUCCUAGUGUAGCGGUGAAAUGCGUAGAUAUUAGGAGGAACACCAGUGGCGAAGGCGGCUUACUGGACUGUAACUGACGUUGAGGCUCGAAAGCGUGGGGAGCAAACAGGAUUAGAUACCCUAGUA